rnacentral:rRNA from 1 species
AGUGAACGCUGGCGGUAGGCCUAACACAUGCAAGUCGAACGGCCGCACAGUAAGAGUUCGCCCCUACGGGUGGCGAGUGGCGGAUGGGUGACGAAUACAUCGGCAUCUACUUUUUCGUGGGGGAUAACGUAGGGCAACUUACGCUAAUACCGCAUAUGACCUACGGGUGAAAGCAGGGGAUCUUCGGACCUUGCGCGUCUCUUUGAGCCGAUGUCGGAUUAGCUAGUUGGCGAGGUAAAGGCCCACCAAGGCGACGAUCCGUAGCUGAUCUGAGAGGAUGAUCGGCCACACUGGAACUGAGACACGGUCCAGACUCCUACGGGAGGCAGCAGUGGGGAAUAUUGGACAAUGGGCGCAAGCCUGAUCCAGCCAUGCCGCGUGAGUGAAGAAGGCCUUCGGGUUGUAAAGCCCUUUUGUUGGGGAAGAAAAGCAGUAUGUUAAUACCCCGCUGUUCUGACGGUACCCAAAGAAUAAGCACCGGCUAACUACGUG